UACAGAGGUCUCAAGCGUUGUUCGGAUUCAUUGGGCGUAAAGGGUGCGUAGGCGGCGCGGUAAGUCGGGUGUGAAAUUUCGGAGCUUAACUCCGAAACUGCAUUCGAUACUGCCGUGCUUGAGGACUGGAGAGGAGACUGGAAUUUACGGUGUAGCAGUGAAAUGCGUAGAUAUCUGGAGGAACACCGGUGGCGAAGGCGGCAUCCUGGACCAACACUGACGCUGAGGAGCGAAAGCCAGGGGAGCAAACGGG
rnacentral:rRNA from 1 species